GUGUUUUUGUAGAAAAAUGAGCAGAAAGCAAAAUAUUAAAAUGGGUAUAAGCAAUUGCAGCAAUAUUUUGCCAAGGACUCACCUUUUUGAAUAUAUUGUUCCACAAAAAUCUCUUAUGAAAUAAACAGUCCCAUCUGUUGCCCAGGUGAUUCAAAGAUCCAUAUUAAAUUGUUUAUCCAGAUCAGAGAGCCUCUUUGUCUAGGUGGGGAAAAAAAAAGAAAAAAAAGAAAGCUGAAAGACAGAGAGUCCUAUGGGGCUGUCUUGUGGCAUCAUGUGUGUUUUUUUUUCCUUUCAGUGUAGAAGGGCAAACAGCUGACCCUCUGAGUAUGGGGGUGUUUCAUUGCUGGCUUCCUCAUAUCUCCCUGUGCCAAAGUCCUCCUAUAGCGGCUUCAUGAAAGAACUCUCAGCUGCCUACAGAAGCCUACAUGGGACAAAUCUACCUUAAUGCAGUAUCUUUCUCAUAGAAGAUGCCUGGCAAAUAUUUAUUGAAUUAAUCUGAUGUGAUAACGGAGCCACUGGAAGAAAGAACUGCUGCUGCUGACAGGUGGCAAUUCCCUGCCUUGUGUCUUUUUUCUUUGGUACCAGGGUGCUUUCCCACUGAGCUACAGCCCCAGUCCUAUUUAUUUAUUUAUUUUGAAACAAGUUCUCAGUAAUUGUUGAGGGUCUCACCAAGUUGCUGAGACUGGCCUCCAACUGGCGAUCCUCCUGCCUCAGCCUUCUCCGUUGCUGGGAUUAUAGUUAUGUACUACUACACUUUGCUGCCUUAUGUCUUUCCAUGGAGCCCAAGUCUCCUCUGUAAAGAGCUGCCGGAUAAAGGCAGGUUUUUUUCUGUAUGCAGGCAGCUUUACCCUGCAUACAUUUGGGAGAUAUCUUGAUGCUCUUUUAAGGUGUAGUGUUUUUCAUAAUAGAGACAAGUGUCCAUAAAUGAACUUGACUACAGUCCCAUCAUUCCACACCCUUGACUGGCCCUUGAAUGCUUGGAGGUAAGUGGGACUUAACUGGGCAGGUUUAAAUCUCAUCCUCCACCCUACCCUUUCUUUGCUUUGCUUUGCUUCUUUGGAGUUGGUGUCUCCCUUACCGACGGGUGCUGUGCUCUCUCAAGCUAGUCCUCUUUCCCCAUCAAAAUCUAUAUUGGCCCAGUGACUCAGGAUGAUGAGAAGGAGGAUUUCAAGUUCAAGGCCAGCCUCAGCAAUUUAGCAAGGCUCUAAGCAACUUAGCAAGACCCUGUCUCAAAAUUAAAAACUAAAAAAGGGCUGGGAUGUGGCUCAGUGGCUAAGCACUGCUGGGUUAAAUCCCUGGUAGCAAAAAAAAAAAAAAGAUUUGAAAAUCACUCAUCCUGGGAAUUUUGGGUUUAAAUUCUCCCAUGAGUUUUUGUGUUUUAGGAAAACUCAAUAUGCAAAGUUUCAGGUGGUGGAGUUUGCUUUUUGGUGGUAGUGGUGGUAUUGGUAGUCUUGAGGGGUGACUUCCUGGUCCCUUUGUUACCUGACUGGAGUCUCCUUCUAUUGGCUUAUCCUGCUCUAUGGCAGCCUGCCUCUGGCACAGACUUGUGGGCUUGGGGUAUAGAUGACCCUUGGAUGUACUACUUAAAAUACCAGCGGUGCAAACCUCAAUUCUGCCACCACCAUUUUGAGGUCUCCAAAGAAUUUUGUUUCACAAUUUUCUUUUGUUUUGUUUUCCAUAAGUUAACCAAGGCACCUGGCAGCUGUGAUGCAGAGUCAGCAGGAACGGCUCUAUUUUCCCUUUACUGCCUGGCAACGCCUCAAAUAAGUUCCCCCAACUGUGCUUUUGGAAAUUGUCCCAAACAAAAGGAGGCUGAAGAGAGAGCAUGAGUCUUAAAAUUGGAUGAAAUUCUACACCAUGAAGCUUGAAAAAAUACUGUUCCAGUGAAAAUACUAUGAGACCAGAAGACAUUUUUGUAUGUGGGUCACUUUUAUACCCCCAAAAUAGAAUGUGAUAAAUAACUACUUGUACAACUAUGCCACACAUUAAAACAAAACAAAACAGAUCACAAAACAAUACAUGGAUUGACCCUACUGUGGUAAAAUACAGGAUAUAUAAAUAUACAGAGACUUUUUUUUUUGGUUUCUAUGUGCCAGGCACUUAAGAGCUGUAGGUAUAAUAUUUACAUAUAAUCAAUAAAAACCUGGAGAGGAAAUUCUUAUUAUUCCCAUUUUUACAGGGGACAAAACUGUAGAGUAUGUGAGUUACACAACUCAAACAAAGUUACAAUGACAAUAUGUGAGAAAAGUCCAUGAUAAUUAGAAUUUUUCGAAACAUGACUAUAUCUAUCUGCAAACAUAAGCCUUGGGUGAUAACCUAUCAUUUUAGCUGAUGAAGAAUAUUGGGCCAUUUUUGUUUUCUUCAGUUGAUCAUGUGUGUUUUCUAAUUUAUUUCCAAUGAAUAUUUUUAUUAACAGAAAGUUGUGUGUGUGUGUGUUGCUGUGGAUUGAACUAAGGUGUGUUUCACCACUGGGAAACAUCUUCAGUCCCCUUUAAAUUUUAUUUUGAGACAGGAUCUCAGGUCCUUAAGUUGUUGAGGCUAGCCUCACACUAUCAAUCCUGCCUCAGCCUCUAGAAUGAGAGUUGACAGUACAGGCAUGUAAUCUGUGUCCAGGUACAGAAAGUUAUUUUUAAAUGAGAAAAUUAUACUAAACAGUUGAUAGAAGUCAUAUAUGUCUAACUAUUAAAG
rnacentral:lncRNA from 1 species